AACGGAAGAUGGUUGGCAGCCAGAUGAUGUGGAGCAUCACCGCCACCUACUGGUCUGGAGGGGAAUCAGGAGUUUAUAACCCGGGAUGGCAGAGGCAUUGGAGGUCACGUGCCCCGGAUACCCAGAGAUGCCCCACUGUAGCGACGCAGGUGUUCUGCAUCUAUUUAUCUAGCAUGCAGACUGGAAAGGACAGAAGAAGACAAUACAUGGCUAGAUAAGGAGCAGAUGAACCCGGGGUGGCCAUGUUGUUGGAGUUGGGGGAUGAUGCAGGUGGACCAGAGGACUAGAGACGGGGAGACUGGUCGGCGUUGAGAAGCGGGAGGCUGGAUCGUUGUCGAGGUUCGACAGGAACUGGAGGAUUGGUCGGAUCGAGCCAAGAAAGGGUUGGGAGCAGUGGAGGGUCGCGCCCUUUUCCCUUUGACCAGCUAAGAGUCCACAUUACAGACUUGUUUAUUGACUUAUCGUCAAGGACUGCCGCACCUCCUUCUCUUUUAUUAUUCGUCUUUGAAAUAAAUUAUUGUAAAUUUUA